AAAAAAAAAACUAUUUCUCGUGAGCAACAAUAAAGGAAAAGGAAAGGAAAAUAUAUUUUUUUGGUAAGAAGGAAAUAAAAAUAGGGAAAUUUGCAAGAAUAACUAACAAAAAUUUAUAAAUUAACAAAGUAACACAAGACAAAAAAACAGCUAUAUUAUAUAUAAUAAUACCAUAUUCUAUCCCUCUCUUUCUACCUCACUGUAAGUCUUUCCCUCUCUCCACUCUCUCUCGUCUUUUUUUCUUUCUUCUCCCAAUCUCAUCUCUCUUUCUUUUUUCUCUUUUUUUAGCAUUUUAUUUGUAUCUCCAUGUCACCUCACUUUCCUUUUUUCUCAGAAUCCUCACACAUUUUGUUUUUUUUUCCUAACUAGUAAAAAUGAUUUUUUUUUGUAAAAUUGUUAGGGUACAAACCUCCAAAAUGCAAACUCUUGUCACUUUCUUUUAAUAGAUUCGCGUUGCAUCCGUUAUCACAUAACAAACAAACAAGAAGGAUAAAGUAGAUUUUUCAGAUACCACUAAUGUUAUAUGAUUGCUUGGGUUGUCAAUAUUGUAUCUUAGGGUAUAGUUUUUUUAUACAUCCAAAAUAGUAUAGUACAACAUUUUAUUUCUAUACAUCCAAAAUAGUACAAUAUGUUUUUACUUACAAACACUAUUUACUAUUUUAUAAAUUCACAUCCGAUUUUAAAAAUUCAAACUAUGUUGUAUGUAGAAAAAAAUAUAAAUUUUUAUCUAAUAAAU
rnacentral:sRNA from 1 species